rnacentral:tRNA from 1 species
CGAAAUGGCUCAGUUGGUAGAGCAACGCAUUCGUAAUGCGUGGGUCGCGGGUUCGAGUCCCGCUUUCGG